rnacentral:lncRNA from 7 species
UUAAAUCAAGAUAUUUGCUGUUUGUUUAUGUUAUCUCCUUCAUCCAUAUUUUGCACCAAAAAUCCAAGGGAACAUCUAAUCUAGCCUAGCUAGAUACCAUGGACACCCAUGGCGUGGAGCAAACUCAAAUGCUUCUUCAUGGCUUCACUUCCUCUGCGGCUGUGGGUGCGAGAGCUAUUUCCUCCUCCCCCUUGCUCUCUUCUAUAUUACCACCUUAUCCACCUGUAUUUUAUCCCCAAAACAAGA